UUCAAUGCAUUAAAGAUUAAGAAUUAAUUUGAAUUACUGUGUAUUACUGUUUAUCAUGUUAAUUAUUAUUGAUUUUCAGAAGAGACUAUUAUUUAAACUAUCGUUCAUCGCCUUUUAACUGUUCUAACUGGCUAUCUAGGUACAACUGGAAUGGUUGAAUUAAUUCAUGUAAGCUCAUCGUGAAUAUUCUAGAGACACGACUCAAUUUAUAACUAACAUGGAAUGGUUAAUCUAAAUCAAAUGAAAGAACAUUUAUUCGACAAGUUGAUUGAACAAGUGUUAACCUGGACGCUUGAAUCUGAUACACACUUUAUCGGAUGGUAAAUUGAAUAUGGUGGGUAAAGGUGAUGAGAAAAAUAUAAUAUAAUGAAGAGAUGAUCAAAUAAUAAAAAUAGAACUUAAUUUUCUGUUUGUUCACUUCUUCAGAUGUUGAUGUCCAAAUAAUAGGAAUUGAUUUAAGAAGGAGGAAAUUGUUUUGAAACUAAACUCAUCACGAAAUAUGAACAAUAUUGAUAUUAUCCAGCCUUACACUUUAAACGAGCGGACAAUAAUUAAACAAACAACAGUCAAAUGUUGUUAGUAAUUUUAAUGCUCUUCUUAUUACUAUUAUAAUCAUCACCACCAGAGGCAUUAUUAACAUUAUGGUGACUCCCAACUAACCUCAAGUUAUUAGUUUCUUGUCAUGAUGGAUUGGAUUUGAAGUUGCAAUUGAAACAUUUUCAACUAACAAGCAAACCAAAGGAGGGAUAUACAUAAAUAUAUAUGAAAAGUGGUCAUAACCAUUGACACUUGAUAACAAUUUGAGACAAAGCCAAAAAAAUUAAUAUUUGUUAAUGUGUUAAUCAUGAUUUCCACAAAAUCGCAGUUUUUCUUCAUAAGUAUUUCAUCAAGCACAAAAAAGGAGGAAAGACGAGAGAAGAAAAAACGAUGUCGA